CCUACGGGGGGCAGCAGUGAGGAAUAUUGGUCAAUGGGCGCGAGCCUGAACCAGCCAAGUAGCGUGAAGGAUGACUGCCCUACGGGUUGUAAACUUCUUUUAUAAAGGAAUACAGUGAGGCACGUGUGCCUUUUUGUAUGUACUUUAUGAAUAAGGAUCGGCUAACUCCGUGCCAGCAGCCGCGGUAAUACGGAGGAUCCGAGCGUUAUCCGGAUUUGUUGGGUUUAAAGGGAACGGAGAUGGGUUGUGUAGUAAGUUGUGAAAGUUUGGGGCUCAACCGUAAAAUUGCAAUUGAUACUGGCAGCCUUGAGUACAGUUGAGGUAGGCGGAAUUCGUGGUGUAGCGGUGAAAUGCUUAGAUAUUACGAAGAACUCCGAUUGCGAAGGCAGCCUACUAAACUGCCACUGACAUUGAGGCUCGAAAGUGUGGGUAUCAAACAGGAUUAGAUACCCUUGUAGUC
rnacentral:rRNA from 1 species